CACUGAUUCAGCCUUUCUGUUUGGUCAUCACUUUGAGGGUGAUAGGUAGAAGAAUAAUUCAGAGAAGUGCCUAGCAAUUUUAAAAACUCUUUCCAAAAAUUACUUGUAAACAGUUUAUCCCCUAUCAGAGACAAUUGUUAAUGGAGUCCCAUGCAACUUGAAAAUAUUAUCUAAGAAUAUUUUAGCCACCGCAGAUGCAGAAAAUGGAUGACUUAAGGCCAGGAAAUGUCCAUACUUAGUAAGCCUGCAAACUACCACCAAUAUGACAUCCUUCCCUCCAGAUCUUGGCAACUGCUCUAUAAAAUCCAUUGAAAUAGGCUGCCAUGCUUGGGAAGGAAUAGGUAGAGGCUGGCCAAGGUAGGCACAGUUCUCCCCUUUACAUCUUGCACACACAUCACACUCUUUGAUCUAAUCCACUACUGUACGCAGUAACCCAGGCAAAAAUGCCUUUUAAUCCUCAUAUAGGGAGCUUGAACUCCUGAAUGACCACCUAUUGGAGAGGCAUGGUACUGCUGCAGCAAUGAGUUCCUCAAAUUAGUGCCGCUACCUACAUGAAUUCUGCACUUAUGAUACAAAAGUCCAUUCACCAACUUGUAAUCUGGAAAAGCAGUGGCAUCUAAGGAUAGUUGAGUAAUUAACUCUUGAGCCUUAGUGUCCCCUUGAUAACUUUCUACUAAAUUCUACAUCCAAGUAGGGCUUAUUGUAGUAAUUGAAUUCAAAUAAUCUUGUUGUGAAGAUUCAGCAGUGUCUACUCUUCUUGAGUGAGCAUCAGCUACUUUAUUCUCCACUCCCCUCCUAUAGAGAAUAUUAUAAUUCAGCCCUAACAACUUGGAUAUACCCUUCUGCUGUAGAUUAGCGUCAAGUCUUUGUUCAAGGAGAAAUUUAAUGCUCUCAUGAUUAGUCUUAAUAUAGAACAGCCCUUGCUCUAAAUAAUGCCUCCAUUUGGAGACAACAAAUGUGAUUGCCAAAAGCCCCUUUUCAUAUACUGAAAGGGACCGAUUUCUAGGGCCAAAAGCUCUUGAAAUAAAAGCUAUAGGAUGCCCUUGUUGUUGAAGGACUGCCCCCAUUCCAUAAUUUCUUGCAUCUGUCUCCACAACAAAUGGUUUAGAAAAAUCAGGAAGUGAUAACACAAGUGCUGUGGACAGCCUGUUUCAGCAUUUUAAAAGUCUGUUGAGUAGCUGAAGUCCAUUGAAAUGCAUUUUUCUUUAACAAGUCUGGAAGUGGCAUACAAAGACUCCCAUAAUUUUGAAUGAACUUCCUGUGGUAGCCAGUGAGCCCCAAGAAACUUCUAAGCUCUUUUACUAACUUAGAAAUGGGCCAUGAAAGCAUAGCUUGAAUUUUGUUGGGAUCUAUUGAUACUCCCUCUCCAGAAAUUAUAUGGCCUAGAUACUCAACUUGUGACUGCCCAAAAGAACAUUUUGACAAUUUAGCAUACAGCUGUUGGGACUUAAGUAUCUCAAACACUGCCUCUAGGUGCUUCAAAUGCUCCUCCAUGGUAGGGCUAUAGAUUAGGAUGUCGUCAAAGAAGACUAGGACAAAUUUCCUAAGGUAAGGUUUGAAAAUGUGGUUCAUUAGGCCUUGGAAAGUGGUUGGGGCAUUUGUUAAACCAAAUGGAGUUACUGUAAACUCAAAGUGACCAUGGUGGGUUUUGAAAGCUAUUUUUGGGAUGUCUUUUGGUUGCAUUUUUAUUUGAUAUUACCCUACUUGUAGGUUUAUUUUGGAGAAUAUCCAUGCCCCAUGUAACUCAUCAAGAAGGUCAUCAAUCAUUGAUAUAGGAAAUUUGUUUUUAAUGGUCAAAUCAUUUAGUUUUUUAUAAUCUAUGCAAAAUCGCCAAGACCCAUCUUUUUUCUUUCUAAAAGCACUGGUGAAGAAUAAGGACUGGAACUAGGCUGUAUGACCUUAGACUCAAGCAUUUCUUAUACUAAUUUUUCAAUUUCAGCUUUUUGGAAGUGAGAAUAUCUAUAGGGUCUGAUGUUAAAUGGUUGGGCAAUAGGUUGCAAGUUAAUUUCAUGCUUAUAAGCUCUAAAUGGAGGCAAUGAUUGAGGAUCUUGAAAGAGGCAUUGAUACUUAUCUAAUAGCUGAUGUAUUCCAGUUUUCUCCAUGUCUGCUACCCUUCCAGAAAUGGAAAAUAAGGAUGCUGCAGCUGCUGGAACAUCAAUACAGAACAGAGGAGUUUGAAAGUCCUUGCCCCCCUUAUGCAUCGGCUGGUGGAAAUCAUCACAAGGAAUUAGUUUGCAGGUGUUAUUGACUUCAGAAACACCUCGCAACCUGACCAGCUUCCCAUCCUUCCUCAUAGUUAUACUGGAAUCCUCAAAAUCAAACAGUGGAGGAUUAUAGUUUCUCAUCCAAUCUACCCCCAAAAUUAUAUCAAAUCCUCCCAACUAUAAAAUUCUGAGAUCAAACACAAAUGCUAUCUUCUGGAUCUGCCAUUGAAAUUGCUGACAAAUUACAUUACUCAUCACUUUUCUUCCAUCUGCCACAGUAAUAGUGAUUGGAUUUGUUUCCACUAAAUCCAAUUUUAGUUCUUUUGCAACUCUCUUAUCCUUGAAACUAUGAGUGCUCCCACCAUCCACUAAAAUUAAUAGCUGUCUAGCCUUAUAUUUCCCUUGCACCCUUAUAGUACCCUUUUCUUGCUUUCCUUCUAUGGCAUGGACAGAAAGGACUGCUCCUUCAUUCCCCAUUUCCUCACCUUGAGAUACUUCAUGCCACUUUUCCUUCCUUUCCUCCUGUUCUUGAUUCAGUUCAUCCACAUUCAAGGCCAUUACAGUCUUUUGCUUACACUGAUGGCCUGGAAAAUACCUCUCCCCACAUCUAAAACAGGGUCUAGGUUGUCUUACGGUAGUUUGGUUGGGUUGCAAAUUAGUCUUGACUUGGUUUUGAUUCAUUGAAGAUUGACUUUUAGCUG
rnacentral:misc_RNA from 1 species